GCUUGUUUUUCAGAGUGGGUUUUGUCACUAUCUUGUAAAGAUGGUACUUAAUUCUUAUUAAAUUCUCUUUUUACGAAAAAAUAACUGCAAAAAAAAAGAGAAAAGAAACAAUGUCUUGUUCAUGCAUACCUAACAUUUCCUCUCCCUUUGCCUGCCAGCUCGGAUGGCUCAUAACUUCCACCUCUGAAGAUGAAAACUUUAAUGAGCUAGGGCGCAAAAUUGAGGGCCGAUGCCGAAAUCAGUGAGAUAGAUUUGUCGCUCGCUGAUGCUUUCAUGAAAUUGCAAUUUAUUAAUUGGGAGAUAAGAGUACAAUUGUG
rnacentral:lncRNA from 1 species